rnacentral:rRNA from 1 species
ACUCCUACGGGAGGCAGCAGUGGGGAAUCUUGGACAAUGGGCGCAAGCCUGAUCCAGCCAUGCCGCGUGAGUGAUGAAGGCCCUAGGGUCGUAAAGCUCUUUCGCCAGGGAUGAUAAUGACAGUACCUGGUAAAGAAACCCCGGCUAACUCCGUGCCAGCAGCCGCGGUAAUACGGAGGGGUUAGCGUUGUUCGGAAUUACUGGGGCGUAAAGCGUACGUAGGCGGAUUAGUUAGUCAGAGGUGAAAUCCCAGGGCUCAACCCUGGAACUGCCUUUGAUACUGCUAGUCUUGAGUUCGAGAGAGGUGAGUGGAAUUCCGAGUGUAGAGGUGAAAUUCGUAGAUAUUCGGAGGAACACCAGUGGCGAAGGCGGCUCACUGGCUCGAUACUGACGCUGAGGUACGAAAGUGUGGGGAGCAAACAGGAUUAGAUACCCUGGUAGGAUAGCG